rnacentral:rRNA from 1 species
AGCGAACGCUGGCGGCAGGCUUAACACAUGCAAGUCGAGCGGGCAUCCUUGUGGUGUCAGCGGCAGACGGGUGAGUAACGCGUGGGAACGUGCCCUUCGGUUCGGAAUAACUCAGGGAGACUUGAGCUAAUACCGGAUACGUGCGAGAGCAGAAAGGUUUAUCUGCCGAAGGAUCGGCCCGCGUCUGAUUAGCUAGUUGGUGAGGUUAUGGCUCACCAAGGCGACGAUCAGUAGCUGGUCUGAGAGGAUGAUCAGCCACACUGGGACUGAGACACGGCCCAGACUCCUACGGGAGGCAGCAGUGGGGAAUAUUGGACAAUGGGGGCAACCCUGAUCCAGCCAUGCCGCGUGAGUGAUGACGGCCUUAGGGUUGUAAAGCUCUUUUCUUCGGGACGAUAAUGACGGUACCGGAGGAAUAAGCCCCGGCUAACUUCGUG